rnacentral:rRNA from 1 species
UACGAAGGGGGCUAGCGUUGCUCGGAAUCACUGGGCGUAAAGCGCACGUAGGCGGGUCGCUAAGUCGGGGGUGAAAUCCUGGAGCUCAACUCCAGAACUGCCUUCGAUACUGGCGACCUUCGAGUCCGGGAGAGGUGAGCGGAACUCCGAGUGUAGAGGUGAAAUUCGUAGAUAUUCGGAAGAACACCAGUGGCGAAGGCGGCUCACUGGCCCGGUACUGACGCUGAGGUGCGAAAGCGUGGGGAGCAAACAGG